AACGAACGCUGGCGGCAGGCUUAACACAUGCAAGUCGAACGGUUGCAGCAAUGCAGCAAUGGCAGACGGGUGAGUAACACGUGGGAACCUUCCUAGGGGUACGGAACAACUCAGGGAAACUUGAGCUAAUACCGUAUACGUCCGUGAGGAGAAAGAUUUAUCGCCCUUAGACGGGCCCGCGUCGGAUUAGCUAGUUGGUGGGGUAACGGCCUACCAAGGCGACGAUCCGUAGCUGAUCUUAGAGGAUGAUCAGCCGCACUGGGACUGAGACACGGCCCAGACUCCUACGGGAGGCAGCAGUGGGGAAUCUUGGACAAUGGGCGCAAGCCUGAUCCAGCCAUGCCGCGUGAGUGAAGAAGGUCUUCGGAUUGUAAAGCUCUUUUGCCAGGGACGAUAAUGACGGUACCUGGAGAAUAAGCCCCGGCAAACUUCGUGCCAGCAGCCGCAGUAA
rnacentral:rRNA from 1 species